ACCAGCUGAACUGCUGUUGUUCACCGUGGACAAAAAAGGUUAGUGUGAGCUUAUUAUCAACCAUUUUUUCUUUGAUAUGUUUAUUUUGCUAAGGUUUCUUUUCUUACUAACCAUUUUUGACUUUCCUCUUAUCUCACUCCACCACCUGAGCUGCUGUUGUUCACCGUGGACGAAGAAAGUAAGUAUGAACCUCUAACUUAGAGAAAAAGUGACCUAGACUAGAAUUCAAUAUAUCAAGACAGAAAGUAAUGCAUUAUAUUGUGUGAACCAGCUACAUACUGUAUACAAUGCCUGUUUACUCAUAUUUCACUUAUUUAGUAACUCGAAAUAAUUUGCUCACUCAUUUAUUGUUCCCUCUCUUACUCCACCAUCUGAGCUGCUGCUGUUCACUGUGGACUAAAGGGAUUAUGUGCAGCUCCAACACACACAGGAAGCAGCAAAGGAGGAAGACCCAGACUCAGUAUUUUUGCAGAGCAUCCAAGGUUACCUUGACGACAGAAAAGAAAUGAUUACAUCAUUUCAUGGUUACAAUGAUUACAGGACAAGCUGGAGAGCAGACAGAGGGCAGGACUCCUCUUGUGUCCAGGGGCCCCUGAGAUGGGAUGUGAACCAAACUGCACAAAGCCAGCAUCACAACCAUCCACUGAAC